ACACGAGAACGGGCUCUCCUCUCUCUCCCUCGCCUCCCGAUCCCAGCCGCCAGGAGGCACCCCACCCCACACGGCGGUCGAUCCGGUGCCGCGCCGGCGAGCCGGCCGGCAUCCGCGCCUUCGGAGUCCUCCUCAGCGCCUUUCUGCAUGGGGACGCGGCCGGAGGAGCUUGCGGCCAGGUUGGCGGCCGGGGGCCCCGGCGGCGUCGGCGGACCAGGAGGAGGAGGAGGAGGACGCGGGCCUGGGCGGACCGGGAGGAGGAGGAGGACGCGGGGAGGGGGAGGACGCGGGCCUGGGUGCCGUGCCGGCGGUCGUCGCAGCGCUGGCCGAGCCGACGCGUCACCGGCCGCGCUCGUCCAUGCGGCAGCCACGGUGGGGAGCCUUGCUUGCGGCGUAGACGAUGGCGCGUAGGCCGUAUUUGCUGCUAGCGCCAUGGGGCACCUUGCGUGGCUCCCCGCCCACCUCCACGACAAGUCUGUACAUUGGCCACAACCGGAUCCAUAGGGAAGAGGUGCUCGAGAUGGAGGAGGACAUCCAGAUUGAGGUGGGAGGUCGAUACCAACGCAGUCCUGGGAGGCGUGCACGAGAUCGAAGGCGGGGAGCUCCAGAAGGCGGAUGGCGGCAUCGCCUCACUCUCUAAAUUUACACUUAUCUAGAAUCCAAUGCUUCAGGACCAUGGCAAUAUUGGCUUGGCAAAAACGAUAUAUAAAGUAGUAUCUAUCUUCUUUUCAGUUGUAUGAAUUUGGAACUGAAUUCUAAUGGCAUACAAUUGUAUGACGUGCUUUGAUUAUGCUCAAAACUGUUCAUUCCAAUACUUGAUCGGAGUGCAGAUUAUAUAGCAACAAACAGGAACUACCAUACAAUCUUCAUAUCACACAUUCCACCUAUGAGUAUGAAUAUCCAUGACAAGAUACAUACUCAGCUGUUGCUUUCUUUGAUCUUACUUGAUCAAGUACUUUAUAAAUCUCUGAUGCCAAAUGAGGUGUUAUAUUUUUUCUAAUAUUAUGCCUCAUUUAGGCAAGGGCAAUCAUGAGGCCUUAUAUGCUUAGCUAUCUCAUCCAUUGAUGAUCCCUUUCAAGGAACAGAAGGACUUCUUGUCCAUUUAGAGAGGUAACAAUAACAUUCAGCACACUUUCCUGACUGAGUGAAACUGAUAUUAGAGGUAGGAUCUACAUUUAUACUUGGAUGGUUGGAUGCACAAACCUCUAACCGCAUCAGUGAACUACAGUGUCAUUUUUCUGGCCCUGUAAAAUUCUAAUUAUGCAUAUCAAUGCGACAUGUGCAUGCUGUAAUUUUAUAUUCAGUUCUAAUAUGCUCGCUACCAUGUUGGUCUUCUGAAGCCUUCAUCUCUGCAGGAUCAAUCUUUUGAUUUUGUUACUUAAUAAACUAAAUCUUGAGCAUUGGAGGAGGUAGCCCCUGGAUUGGUGAAGACGCAAACGGGGACAUGAGGAGGUUCAUGGUGGUUCCAGGCUCAUCUCUUCGGUGAGCAGCAGUGCGCUACGUUGGACAGUUACCAAGGCUGGACGGAGGUGUGCCCGUGCGGCCGGACGGUGUCGUCCUGGUCGAGCAGAGCGCCAUACCAAGGCUGCCUGCCGGACUCCAAUUCCCUACCAUUGUCAAGCUCUAGAUCAAGCUCCACAUGGACCUGCCUAUCCGUGCGAUACUGCAUUUCCUCUGGUGGCCGUCUGUUCCGCUUGGCGUUUCCUCUGGAUCUGAGAGGAGAAGGCCUCAAGGAAAUGCCAAGCGGAAAUUUCCCAUGCUGCCAUGCGAGAGUCAGAGGUGGGUGAGUUCCCUGAUCCCCAGCUGUAGCAACAUUGGCCACCACUCUAUGCGCAUCUGUGCCGCCAAAAUCAGAUUUCAUGAAGGCGUAUCAAGCAGAUUGUGAAGAAAAUGUACCUGAAGAUGGUUCCUCAGUAUGAGAAUCCGAUUAACAUUCUCUUCAAGAAUUAAGGCAAAUUGUUUGUAUGCCAUUAACCCUCUCCUGUGAAGAUUCAGAAUCAUAAAAGAUAGUAUUCAGGUACAGAUGGACAGCUUCAUGUUCAGGAAUUUGACACACGGUGGAGAUUUAAUGGACUAAGUACCUUUUUUAGGUAACAUCAUGAUUAAUUACCGACACGUGCAGUUAUUGGCUGCAUUCUAUUAGUCAUACAGAGAUCCACACUGACAAAUUUCUAUUUAGAGGAAGAAGUAGGCACAAGUAGACUGGAAAAACACAAAACAGCGGGAGAUGUCAUGUUCAGCAGCGAGAACAUCAUUGCUCUUCAUGUUUUAAGUUAAACCUGUAUUAUUUCAGAAUGAUUAGUCAAAGAUCGGUGAUUGUUAGAUGCGUAAAGUUAAUGUGAGAGGAAGGAGCAUGAACGGUCUUCUCAAUACAGCGUGUGUGCAUUUGCCGAUUCUACUGAUGUUAAUUUUUCCUUACUGGCAUAGGUUGUCAAGGGUUGUUCUAUCCGUCUCAGAGAAAUGUGUUCAAAGUGAAUUCUUCUUA